UGAGGAAUAUUGGUCAAUGGGCGAGAGCCUGAACCAGCCAAGUAGCGUGCAGGAUGACGGCCCUAUGGGUUGUAAACUGCUUUUAUGUGGGGAUAAAGUGCGUGACGUGUCAUGCAUUGCAGGUACCACAUGAAUAAGGACCGGCUAAUUCCGUGCCAGCAGCCGCGGUAAUACGGAAGGUCCGGGCGUUAUCCGGAUUUAUUGGGUUUAAAGGGAGCGUAGGCUGUCUAUUAAGCGUGUUGUGAAAUUUACCGGCUCAACCGGUGGCUUGCAGCGCGAACUGGUAGACUUGAGUAUGCAGGAAGUAGGCGGAAUUCAUGGUGUAGCGGUGAAAUGCUUAGAUAUCAUGACGAACUCCGAUUGCGCAGGCAGCUUACUGUAGCAUAACUGACGCUGAUGCUCGAAAGUGCGGGUAUCAAACAGG
rnacentral:rRNA from 1 species